AGUGUCUUAAGGGCAUUCGGUGGAUGCCUUGGCGACAAGAGGCGAUGAAGGACGUGAUACGCUGCGAUAAGCGUCGGGGAGCUGCGAAUAAGCUUUGAUCCGGCGAUUUCCGAAUGGGGAAACCCACUCCGUAUGGAGUACCCGCAAGGGAGCAAACCCGGGGAACUGAAACAUCUAAGUACCCGGAGGAAAGGACAUCAACCGAGACUCCGCUAGUAGUGGCGAGCGAACGCGGACCAGGCCAGUGGCUAUAGGAUAAGAACCGGAACCGUCUGGAAAGUCGGGCCUUAGUGGGUGACAGCCCCUUACGGGUAGAAAUUCUUAUAGUCCUUGAGUAGGGCGGGACACGUGAAAUCCUGUCUGAACAUGGGGGGACCAUCCUCCAAGCCUAAGUACUCCUACAUGACCGAUAGUGAACCAGUACCGUGAGGGAAAGGUGAAAAGCACCCC
rnacentral:rRNA from 11 species